GCGAUAUGGGGUGUCGCAGCCGGGUUACUGCGUAGGCGGCGAUCGUUAAUCGGAAUUACUGGUGUUAAAUCGGGCUCAGGCUGUGAUGCAAGACCGAGGUGAAAUCCCCGGGCUUAACCUGGGAACGGCAUUGGUGACUGCAUCGCUAGAGUAGGGCAGAGGGGGGUAGAAUUCCACGUGUAGCAGUGAAAUGCGUAGAGAUGUGGAGGAAUACCGAUGGCGAAGGCAGCCCCCUGGGCCAAUACUGACGCUCAUGCACGAAAGCGUGGGGAGCAAACAGGAUUAGAUACCCCAGUAGUC
rnacentral:rRNA from 1 species